rnacentral:rRNA from 1 species
AUUACUCCUACGGAGGCAGCAGUGGGGAAUAUUGCACAAUGGGCGCAAGCCUGAUGCAGCCAUGCCGCGUGUAUGAAGAAGGCCUUCGGGUUGUAAAGUACUUUCAGCGGGGAGGAAGGGAGUAAAGUUAAUACCUUUACUCAUUGACGUUACCCGCAGAAGAAGCACCGGCUAACUCCGUGCCAGCAGCCGCGGUAAUACGGAGGGUGCAAGCGUUAAUCGGAAUUACUGGGCGUAAAGCGCACGCAGGCGGUUUGUUAAGUCAGAUGUGAAAUCCCCGGGCUCAACCUGGGAACUGCAUCUGAUACUGGCAAGCUUGAGUCUCGUAGAGGGGGGUAGAAUUCCAGGUGUAGCGGUGAAAUGCGUAGAGAUCUGGAGGAAUACCGGUGGCGAAGGCGGCCCCCUGGACGAAGACUGACGCUCAGGUGCGAAAGCGUGGGGAGCAAACAGGAUUAGAAACCCAG